CAGAAAACAGAAAGGAAGAAUAAGAGGAAUGUUAAAAGCCAACGCUUUUCCAGCUCUCAUGGUGUGCCUGACACUGUGCAAAGGGCGUUACCUACAAUUACCUCAUUUGACUCUGACAGUAGUAACCCAUGAGACAUACGUUGCUAUUACCUCAUUUUACAGAUGACACACUAAGGCGCAAGGCAGCUGCACAUCCACGGCCAGCCUCGUUGUCUUCAGGGAUUUGUUCAAAGUUCAUUCUGAAUUGUAAGGUAACCACUGCAGAACACGAGCCUUUCCUGGGUAUGUGUGGUUAUUUCUGCCCUUCACGGUCCCACUCAAGUCCUGCCUCCCUCAGGGAGACCUCCCAGACCUCACCAAGCCGUGGGCACGUGGACCAGAAGCCGUGGACCCCAGAGGCUCAUUUAGGGAUCUGCUUUCUGAACCCAGGUCCUAACAUCUGCACUGCAGCGAGCAUUUCUGGUGCCUCAAGUGAGUCACUCCAACUUCCAGCUCACUGAGAGGCGAUGGAGCACUGAGUGCCAGCAUCUUCCAGCACCAGAGGAGCUGACUCUGAAUAGACAGCUCGGCAGCGGCCUCAGCACAGAGCAGGGGAGCCACCAGCCACAGGCAGCCACUGAGCCCUUGGCAUGUAACCCGGUAACCCAUGCAACAGAAGACCUGAGCGUCCAGUGUUGCUAGCUUGAAGUAACUUCAGUGGUGUUCCCCAGCGUUUUUCUCAUCCCCCUCCCUUCCCUUCCCCUACAGCUUUCUUCCUCUUUCCCCUCCUUCUGAGUCUUUCGUCCCCAGUCCUGGGAACCUUUUUUCUGACUUGGUGUUUUCUCCUGAAUGCCUCCUUCCUGGCCCCCUAAUCAGAAAUGCAGAAGCCACCUGCCCCACACAGGGGGCCACUUUCCCUGCAUCUGGCACUCACCAGGACAGUCAUAGAACUGGCCUUGGGUGCUUGGGGAGAGUGGAGAGGUCUGGGGGGCAUCCACUGGCCUCAGCCUCAGAGCUUCUCAUCAGUAACCCAGGAGGCAAAGGCCCAGCUCAAGAUUAGCCCAGGCCACUGUAUCUGUGCCAAGACCUACAGCUGUCCCUGCAGGGCGUGCAUCUCUGCAGCCCAGGCUAUCACAAUGGUGUCCCUUUUGGUGGGGAUGUGAGGCCUGCUGCUGCCUGGGAAGAAGCUGACAGGAUUGUUGGUGCUGUGGGGAGAAGCUGGUGUAACUGAGACCCAUGAGGGAGGCCCUUUGUGGGUCUGUGGCUGGGAGGAGCUCUGGGGAAGAUGGGCCUUGAGAAAUCCCAGCUUAGCACCUUUGACAGUUGCUCCACUGAGUCACCCUAGACUGCAAUCUCACAGAUGUUCUAACCACCCUCUCCCUGGGGAGCCCUUGGGGGUGCUGCAAGCCCAGUCCUCACUCACUGGCUUUGUGCUUCUCUUCCCGACUUCCUUUUUUUGCUCCUGUUGAGAAAUGUGGGUCCAGGGCUGCGUGCUCCAGUGUGCGGAAGGAAGGGCAGCGUGCUCUUUGGACUGAGCUGGCUCAAGGGAAGCUGGGUCUGAGGGGAGACUGACCUCGACCCUUCUUAAAUGAAACACCUUUUCCCUGCGUCUCAGUCACCGUUACCUGGCCUGAUCACUGUGUGCCACACCCCAUCACAUCCAUCCCCACAAGAAUGCCAGGAGGAGGGGUCAUUGGCCUUUUUGUCAGCACAAACCUCUGGAGGCCCAGCUCCCAAGACCCGCCAGGCACACCUGCCAGAGUGCCUUAACUUGGGAUGUCUGCAAACCUCUGUCCAUGGCCGAACCCACCCCACUGCCUGUUACUGUAAAUAAAGGUCUAUUAGCAUGCCACCAUGCCCCUCCUCCGAUGCAUACAGUGCCCAGCUCAGCACCUGGUGCAAGUAAGCACAAUCUGGCUUCCAGCCAUCACUGCUGUUGCUACUAACACAAAUAUUAGGCCCCUUCUAGAAUGCAAAGAUAACCCAGGGCUGCUCGUUCUGUGUCCAGAUCACAGAGUUUUUCUUUUUAUCCUUAUCAACUUUAUUGAGGGAUAAUUUACAGGCAAUAAAUCAUAUCCAUUUAAAGUUAUUGUCAAGCUUUUAAAGAAUUAAAGUUCGUCUUCUUCAGAAGCUUACCGAGGACUACAGGCUGUGGCGUAGAGCCCUGGAGCAGCCUCCACUGAGGUUCUGUAUUUCAGGUCACAGUUGACAUAUAGGUGGGAGGUCCAGUACGUGCAAAGUCACAUGAAAGCUUGGGUGUCAGAGUGCAUCAGGUUAUGGAUUCAAUUACAGAGCAAUAAUCACUGACCCUGUCAGAUGUUAUCUUACGUGUAGGAAAAGGUAAGACCAGGGCCAUUUAUCUGCAAAGAAUAUAGUGACUCAGGCAAGAGUCCGGAGAGGGUGUGUGCUCCAUCCUGUUUUGUCUUCAGAGCAUCUUUCUGGGGAGCUGCACAUCGUUAUAGAGACAGGCACUUUGUGAAAUUCUGCUGCCAAGCACAAAUGAGCAAACGUGGUUUCCUAUGUUUACUACUUUGUCUCACAAAGCGCACAUUCACAGUGCAUUAUUAAGGGGCCCUGGCAGCACCGCCACAGUGUAUCUCUGCUCCCUCUUAAAGUUCCCCGUGCCCCUUGGCAGACAGGCCCCUCUCACUCCUGGGCCCAGGCUACCAUUGACCAGCUUUUUGCCACUAGAGGUUAAUUUUCAUUCUAUGUGAUUGGAAUCAUACAGAUGUUCUUGUAUCUGACUUAUUUCACUCCACAUAGUGAUUCUGAGAUUCAAAUGUUGUGUGUAUCAGUUGUUUGUUCCUUUUUAUUCCUGAAUGGGAGAGGGGAUGUCAAGCUGCACAGUUUUAUUCCUGGGCUACAGUGGAGAUGGAUGGUUCUACCGUCUCUCUGAAACACCAUCUGCAGUUUCUUCAAAAUCUACCUACACAUCUUCCAUCCCAUCCUGAGGAGUCCCCGAGGGUUGAGAAAUGCAUGACCCCACACCUGGCUGACGUGUACAACUGGCGGAGUUAGUUUUUCCUGUUGACACUGGCCACGGGCGCCUCAGCAUGCACAGCCCUGGCCUUGCUCCUCUAGGCAUGCUGGGGGCUUGUCCACACGUGUGGUCUACGGAUGGAGGAGAGUGGCCUCUGGCCCAUGCGUGCCAUGCACUGGACCUUCCCAGGGAAUCAAGUUACAUGAUGUUUCCUUGAGGAGCUACAUACAAAGUAAAAAACUGAAAUCAAGAAUAUCAGUCAUUUCUGAAUAUGCCAAUUCGCCCAUGGUGCAGUUUGUACAGCUUAAUCACUGCAGAACAGUUUUGAGGAUAAAAUUAACCAAAAACCUAAGUAGACAAAAUAUUCAAAUUUUUGGAAUCUGUCACAAAAAUCCACAGAUGACUUAUUUUCCAUUGUAGCUUAUAAUGUCCAAAAGCCUUUCUAGUGACUUAUAACUGAUGGUGAGCUCCCACUCUGUGGCAGCUGUGGGACACUGGUCUAAGGACUACACCCUGAUGCCUGGUGAGUUACAGAGGCCAUGAGAAGAUGUCAGUGAACCUGAAAGCCAGGGAGAGGCUGUGUUCCUGCCGGACUGUGGGGCUCCUUCGCUCCCCUGCUGUGGCCCUUGGUCAGGCCACUUUCCCUCUCUGGGUGUCAGUGGCUUCAUCUACGAAGUGAUAAAAAACUAAUGCAAACCAGAGCAAAAUGAGAUAACACGGGGACCCCUAAUGUCCCAGGGAGAUGGUGAACUGAAGCACCGCGUGCGGUGAGUUGUUGCUGUCUCCACCCCUCAAGGAGACCGCAGCUUUGCAGACGUGUGGGUCCCAUCAUCGGCCCCAUUCUACAUUCCUCCCUGUGUCCCUGCCAUCGCCAGGUGACUUUGCUGGGCCCUCCCACCGCCCUAACUCCCAAUCCCAAGAUCUUCAGUGAACGUGACGCGCACAGCAGAGGCCCAGAAUGUAUGUGUGCAUGUGGUGACAGCUAAGCCUGCCUGGAGCAGAGCCCCAACCCUGCAGCAGCUCAAACAAGCUGAGAUCAGCAAAUGCACAUCUGACUCUCAGACAUGGGGGCAAUAAUAAUAAAUGCUGUUUGAGUUUUGGGGUCUUUGGCUACACAGCAAUUGCUCACCAAUAUGACAGGGUUGUAUGACGUGGCCAUGCGGAACUGUAUUAUAGGGGAAGUGGUGAACAGUGUGAUGAGAUUUUAAAGAGGAACAGAUUUACCACUGACUUUAGAAAUCAUGGAGGAGAAAUCUCUGGGGUUGCCCUUGAAGGGUGUGUGGAGGAGGACAUGGGAGAAGGGGGAAGAACCGUGGCAUCCUGGCUAAACAGACACAGGGCAGAGGGAGCCUCUGUGUUGGGACUAAGAUGGGGAUGUCGGGGAAGGGACAUGGCAAGCUGACUGUUGGUGGGGAAGGCACGUGUGGGGCUAUAUUGUGAUCAUUGUGAUGUAUAUACAUUGUCACCUCCUACUGUCUCUGAGUCCGGCUGUCCCAAGCCCCCGCCGUGGAAUCCAGCAGUGUUCGGGCCAACUCUCAGAACCUUGGCUUUGUCUGGGGGACCCCUCCCAGACCACUUCACCUGCAAGCCCUCC
rnacentral:lncRNA from 1 species